AUGCUCCAGGCAUGGAGCGCAGAAUGCUGCUCGCACGGAGACAGGGAAGCAGGGAUAAGCACGGUGGGUCCUGGAAGCACAGGCGAUUUGGUCUUGCUGGAGCAUGAAGCAGGAAGCCCAGAUCGUGCGGGAUGUUUGGGAAAGUGGAAGAGAAGAGGCUGCAGACAGAAUUCAUGUGGGGUAGGCGGGCGGAAGCCUCCAGGAAAGAUGCCUUACAGGACGCUCAAGGAAGUGGGCAGCUCAGUGCUCCCCAGAUUGUGUCCAUGGAAUACGGUUCUAGAAGAUCUAUGGAAUGGUGCACACUCCCCUCCCACCCGACCUAAAGGCUCUGACGAGUCCUGGGACAGUCGUCUUUUCCAUUUUGUUUAAUACAGUGUUUCCCAAACAGUGUUUGAUGUGACGUCCUUUCAUUCUCUGAACAUCAGUGCGCUUCCCCUGAGGGUGAAGAGCAGGAGAUUUCGCCUGUCCUCCUCCUCCCCGGGGCCACGCUGGUCCCUUGCAGGGACACCCGCCACAUCUCUGAGCCUCCACUGCCUCCUCACCGUCUCCUUUUGAGCAGCUGUCUUCUGUGUCAUGGGCUUCCCGGGUGGCGCUAGUGGUAAAGAAGGCGCCCGCCAAUGCAGGAGACGAGAGAUACGUGGGCUCCAUCCCUGAGUCGGGAAGAUCCCUGGAGAAGGGCAUGGCAGCUCACUGCAGUGUUCUUGCCUGGAGAAUCCCGUGGACAGAGGAGCCUGGCGGGCUACGGUCCAUGGGGUCGCACAGAAUCAGACACGACUAAAGGGACUCAGCACACGUGCACGCUUCUCUAUCACGGUGUAUGGUAUAUCUUCUGUACUACAUGGCCUCCUUUUAAAAGGGAUCUUGUUUGUAUUUAUUUAUUUUUCAGUAUCUGUUUGUUUAUUUGCUGCAGUGGGGCUUAGUUGCGGGAUGUAGGCUCCAACGCCUCAACCGGGGAUCGAACCCGGGCCCCCUGCGUUGGGAGCUCGGAGCCCCAGCCCCUGGACCACCAGGGGAGUCCCUAAAAGGGAUCCUGUGUUUUCACCCCCCCACCCCACCCCACCCCCGGGGGUCUAGUACCCGGGUACCCGGCACAGAGCCAGGCAUUGAAUAAAUACACGAAUGAGUCUCAAAUGAGACCUGACUCUUCAAUCGGGCUAUUAGGAAAUUAAGCAAAUGAAUGCCUAUGAGAUGAGUUUUAUAUUAGUAAGCUUUAUAGCCCUGCUCACCUGUAAGGA
rnacentral:lncRNA from 1 species